rnacentral:lncRNA from 1 species
CUAUGUUCUAUCCUUGCUUGUUAUAUUACUUGGUCAGAGAAUCAGAACGUAAGGAGAAAAUGUGUUCAGCUGGAACUUAAAUAGACCGGCCACAAAUAACCCAUAAUUCUCUAUAAAUGGACUGUCAUGCUGAGAACAGCUUUAUGCCACGCUGAUCCUAGCUCCACAAGAGCCGGCUAAGCUACGCUUACCCGUAGCAGGUCACACUCCAGAGCCCACUGGAUUCUUGCUGACACAAUAAGUA